UUUCACCAUAACUACUCACUAGGAGUUUACAUCUUCUAAACAUUCUUCAAAACUAGGUUGUCGUAAUGACCUUUAUUCAAUCAUCUCAGAUUCUACUCGUACACAACGAGUUUACAUUAUUUCAUAUUAAUCAUCACGUUCUACCAUAACAUUACUCUGAAGGGUUUAAAAAAAAAACUUUUCAUAUCUGUCGAGGGAUCAUAAAAAUUAUGAACUUUGAACUCCGAGGUUUAGGGGUAUUUCUACCUGCUACCUCUUUCAAUUAAGAAAGAAAGGUACUCUACCUCUUAAACAUUUCUUUAAUAGGUAUGUUUACAAUCACGAAGAAGGUAAACUACCGAUUCUGGUACUUUAGAUGAUCAGUCUAUUGUACCUUAGUAAUCCGAACGACUAUAUGCGUCCUUAAAUUGGAAUAUUCUAUCCAAUUAGUAUAUCCCCAUUUUCAGGAUUGUUCACCUUAGACUUAGUAUAGGAUUCCGCACCAAAACAAUUUAGUUCGAGAAAUUUCUUUCAAUGAACACUUAGAGUUUUCAUAAACAUUAGUCUAGCUGAUUCGAAUAGCAUAGACUCAUAUCGAUAAUUCAGUUCAAUAGAAUUAUUUAAGUAUAGCCAAACCCCGUUGGCAAAUUAAAAUUUUGAAAACAUUUUUCGAGAAUGACGUCAUGAUGCCGCACUGUAUUUACAGUCCGUUGAGGAUUCC
rnacentral:lncRNA from 1 species